rnacentral:misc_RNA from 1 species
UAUGAAGAACGCAGCGAAAUGCGAUAAGUAGUGUGAAUUGCAGAAUUCAGUGAAUCAUCGAAUCUUUGAACGCACAUUGCGCCCCUUGGUAUCCCGAGGGGCAUGCCUGUUCGAGCGUCAUUUCACCACUCAAGCCUGGCUUGGUGUUGGGCGACGUCCUCUUUGGGGACGCGCCUCGAAACGCUCGGCGGCGUGGCACCGGCUUUAAGCGUAGCAGAAUCUUUCGCUUUGGAAGUCGGGGCCCCGUCUGCCGGAAGACCUGCUCGCAAGGUUGACCUCGGAUCAGGCAGGGAUACCCGCUGAACUUAAGCAUAUCAAUAAGCGGAGG